GCCACUUCCUGUAGGUGAAAAAAUGGUGGAUCUUUAUCUCAAACCCACAUUGACAGGGAUCAUCAUGACUAUUCAAGGAGUGAAGAUAUGUAGGGAGAUACCAAAUCUGCACCCAUUUUCCCAUGCAUUCGUCUAGCAAUGAGGAGUGAUCAUUGAGAUAAAAAGGAAUAGCUAUGCUGCAGGGAGAUUUCAACCUUCCUGAGUCUAGGAUAAGGACCAAAGAACUUGAUUCAAAUGGAUGGAAAUAUACAGACUGAGACUUUCAAAGUGGUCAACAGAGGACAAGCAUGUCUCUUCCAGUGCUCUCAAUACAGUCUGGAUGCUUCAGUCUUUAAAAGGAUUUUCAUAUCACAACAGCAGCUUGCUAUUUGGAAUGCUGGGAGGAGACACAAGCAAUGAGAAAAGGGGAAGAUAUUUUAUGUUUUGAGAUUUUCCUAAAUCAGGGUCCAUGGCAAUGACAAGAUUAUCAGCUUUGAUUUAUCAUUAGCAUGCAAAACAGAAAAAAUGAACAGAUAAGCUGUC